rnacentral:rRNA from 1 species
CCUACGGGCGGCAGCAGUAGGGGAUAUUGCACAAUGGGGGAAACCCUGAUGCAGCGACGCCGCGUGAGUGAAGAAGUAUUUCGGUAUGUAAAGCUCUAUCAGCAGGGAAGAAAAUGACAGUACCUGACCAAGAAGCCCCGGCUAACUACGUGCCAGCAGCCGCGGUAAUACGUAGGGGGCAAGCGUUAUCCGGAUUUACUGGGUGUAAAGGGAGCGUAGACGGUUAUGUAAGUCUGGAGUGAAAGCCCGGGGCCAAACCCCGGGACUGCUUUGGAAACUGUGUAACUGGAGUACAGGAGGGGCAGGCGGAAUUCCUGGUGUAUCGGUGAAAUGCUUAGAUAUGACGAAGAACCCCGAUUGCGAAGGCAGCUUGCUGCAGCGGAACUGACGCUGAUGCUCGAAAGCGCGGGUAUCGAACAGGAUUAGAUACCCGUGUAGUC